rnacentral:rRNA from 1 species
CGCGGCCUAUCAGCUUGUUGGUGGGGUGAUGGCCUACCAAGGCGACGACGGGUAGCCGGCCUGAGAGGGUGUCCGGCCACACUGGGACUGAGAUACGGCCCAGACUCCUACGGGAGGCAGCAGUGGGGAAUAUUGCACAAUGGGCGCAAGCCUGAUGCAGCGACGCCGCGUGGGGGAUGACGGCCUUCGGGUUGUAAACCUCUUUCACCAUCGACGAAGGCUCAUUUUUGGGUGGGUUGACGGUAGGUGGAGAAGAAGCACCGGCCAACUACGUGCCAGCAGCCGCGGUAAUACGUAGGGUGCGAGCGUUGUCCGGAAUUACUGGGCGUAAAGAGCUCGUAGGUGGUUUGUCGCGUUGUUCGUGAAAUCUCACGGCUUAACUGUGAGCGUGCGGGCGAUACGGGCAGACUGGAGUACUGCAGGGGAGACUGGAAUUCCUGGUGUAGCGGUGGAAUGCGCAGAUAUCAGGAGGUACACCGGUGGCGAAGGCGGGUCUCUGGGCAGUAACUGACGCUGAGGAGCGAAAGCGUGGGGAGCGAACAGGAUUAGAUACCCUGGUAGUCCACGCCGUAAACGGUGGGUACUAGGUGUGGGUUUCCUUCCUUGGAAUCCGUGCCGUAGCUAACGCAUUAAGUACCCCGCCUGGGGAGUACGG